rnacentral:rRNA from 1 species
CCUACGGGUGGCAGCAGUGAGGAAUAUUGGUCAAUGGGCGCGAGCCUGAACCAGCCAAGUCGCGUGCGGGAUGAAGGUUCUAUGGAUCGUAAACCUCUUUUAUAAGGGAAUAAAGUGUGACGUGUCCUAUUUUGUAUGUACCUUAUGAAUAAGGAUCGGCUAACUCCGUGCCAGCAGCCGCGGUACUACGGAGGAUCCGAGCGUUAUCCGGAUUUAUUGGGUUUAAAGGGUGCGUAGGCGGCCUUUUAAGUCAGCGGUGAAAGGCUGUGGCUCAACCAUAGAAUUGCCGUUGAAACUGGGGGGCUAGAGUAAGUUGGAGGCAGGCGGAAUGCGGGGUGUAGCGGUGAAAUGCGUAGAUAUCAGGCAGAACCCCGAUUGCGAAGGCAGCCUGCCAAGUCAUGACUGACGCUGAUGCACGAAAGCGUGGGGAUCAAACAGGAUUAGAUACCCCGGUAGUC